UACGUAGGGUGCGAGCGUUAAUCGGAAUUACUGGGCGUAAAGCGUGCGCAGGCGGCUUUGCAAGACAGAUGUGAAAUCCCCGGGCUUAACCUGGGAACUGCAUUUGUGACUGCAUGGCUGGAGUGCGGCAGAGGGGGAUGGAAUUCCGCGUGUAGCAGUGAAAUGCGUAGAGAUGUGGAGGAAUACCGAUGGCGAAGGCAGCCUCCUGGGCCAACACUGACGCUCAUGCACGAAAGCGUGGGGAGCAAACAGG
rnacentral:rRNA from 1 species